rnacentral:rRNA from 1 species
CCUAGGGAGGCAGCAGUGGGGAAUUUUGGACAAUGGGCGCAAGCCUGAUCCAGCCAUGCCGCGUGCGGGAAGAAGGCCUUCGGGUUGUAAACCGCUUUUGUCAGGGAAGAAAUCCUUUGGGCUAAUACCUCGGAGGGAUGACGGUACCUGAAGAAUAAGCACCGGCUAACUACGUGCCAGCAGCCGCGGUAAUACGUAGGGUGCGAGCGUUAAUCGGAAUUACUGGGCGUAAAGCGUGCGCAGGCGGUUAUGCAAGACAGAUGUGAAAUCCCCGGGCUUAACCUGGGAACUGCAUUUGUGACUGCAUAGCUCGAGUACGGCAGAGGGGGAUGGAAUUCCGCGUGUAGCAGUGAAAUGCGUAGAUAUGCGGAGGAACACCGAUGGCGAAGGCAAUCCCCUGGGCCUGUACUGACGCUCAUGCACGAAAGCGUGGGGAGCAAACAGGAUUAGAUACCCUGGUAGUCCACGCCCUAAACGAUGUCAACUGGUUGUUGGACGGCUUGCUGUUCAGUAACGAGCUAACGCGUGAGUUGACCGCCUGGGGAGUCGGCGCAAGGUUGAAACUCAAGGAUUGAGGCUUGNGAGNGCGAGCGACGACGAGGAGGAGG